rnacentral:hammerhead_ribozyme from 1 species
AUUCAGCUGAUGAGUCCCAACUAGGACGAAACUCGUGUCAAACUGGAU